rnacentral:rRNA from 1 species
UCGAGCGAGACAGAUGGGAGCUUGCUCCCUGAUGUUAGCGGCGGACGGGUGAGUAACACGUGGGUAACCUGCCUGUAAGACUGGGAUAACUCCGGGAAACCGGGGCUAAUACCGGAUGGUUGUUUGAACCGCAUGGUUCAAACAUAAAAGGUGGCUUCGGCUACCACUUACAGAUGGACCCGCGGCGCAUUAGCUAGUUGGUGAGGUAAUGGCUCACCAAGGCAACGAUGCGUAGCCGACCUGAGAGGGUGAUCGGCCACACUGGGACUGAGACACGGCCCAGACUCCUACGGGAGGCAGCAGUAGGGAAUCUUCCGCAAUGGACGAAAGUCUGACGGAGCAACGCCGCGUGAGUGAUGAAGGUUUUCGGAUCGUAAAGCUCUGUUGUUAGGGAAGAACAAGUACCGUUCGAAUAGGGCGGUACCUUGACGGUACCUAACCAGAAAGCCACGGCUAACUACGUGCCAGCAGCCGCGGUAAUACGUAGGUGGCAAGCGUUGUCCGGAAUUAUUGGGCGUAAAGGGCUCGCAGGCGGUUUCUUAAGUCUGAUGUGAAAGCCCCCGGCUCAACCGGGGAGGGUCAUUGGAAACUGGGGAACUUGAGUGCAGAAGAGGAGAGUGGAAUUCCACGUGUAGCGGUGAAAUGCGUAGAGAUGUGGAGGAACACCAGUGGCGAAGGCGACUCUCUGGUCUGUAACUGACGCUGAGGAGCGAAAGCGUGGGGGAGCGAACAGGAUUAGAUACCCUGGUAGUCCACGCCGUAAACGAUGAGUGCUAAGUGUUAGGGGGUUUCCGCCCCUUAGUGCUGCAGCUAACGCAUUAAGCACUCCGCCUGGGGAGUACGGUCGCAAGACUGAAACUCAAAGGAAUUGACGGGGGCCCGCACAAGCGGUGGAGCAUGUGGUUUAAUUUCAAAGCAACGCCGAAGAACCUUACCAGGUCUUGACAUCCUUCUGACAAUCCUAGAAAUAGGACGUCCCUUCGGGGG